rnacentral:tRNA from 1 species
AAUUAGAAAGCGAAUAUUUGCACUUAGUUUCGACCUAACUCUUGGUUUUAUACCUCUAAUUU